UGGUAAUGCUAUUUUUAGGCUAUUUUCUAUCAUCACGUGGUACGGCGGGCAACCUUCACCUUACAUCUCCAGCUAUAUGAGUGAAAUGGCCGCUGCUGCUGUUGAAUGUAGCUGAAAUCUGUUACACACCACCUAUGUAGAGGAGAAUACAGUUAAGCUGUAGCUGAUUGAUCACAAGCUUUCCACUCUGCCAGCCAUCUAGACAAUGAGUACUAAGUGUCAAGUGAAAUCGAUCAUCAUCACACUUGAUGAACAUUUCCCAUGUUUCCACGAGGCCAAGUGCAUUGAAGUCUUAAGUGGUAACAAAACCCCAAUAGAAUGAACAGCAUAAGAGUGAUGUCAGUGUCUGAGCUGAAGCAACUGUAGACACACAUUCUAGUGAUAAAGAAAGGUGAUAUCCGUUAAAGAUCCAUUGAUGUUGAUGAAGUACUUUUGAUGGGUAUUGGUCUGUUGUUACAUUUGGAUAAGUGGACAGUAUGCCAUGAUGAGACAGUCAUCCACCUGCAGUCUGCCAUGAGAUGGUCGUCCACCUGCAGUCUGCCAUGAGAUGACCAUCCACCUGCAGUCUGCCACGAGAUGGUUAUUCACCUGCAGUAUGCCAUGAGAUGGCUAUCCACCUGCAGUCUUCCAUGAGAUGGCCAUCCACCUGCAGUCUGCCAUGAUAUGGUCAUGCACAUGCAGUCUGCCAUGAGAUGGACAUCCACCUGCAGUCUGCCAUGAGAUGGGCAUCCACCUGUAUUCUUAUCAGAUGGUCAGCCACCUGUACUCUGCCAUAAGAUGCUCAUCCACCUGCAGCCUUGUAUGAGAUGGUCAUCAACCUGCAGACUGCCAUGAGAUG